GUAAUGCCCCAUGGGAAUGGCUUCAUGUCUGCAGUGCUUUGGGGUUUUACAGAACCAAAUUCCUCAGUGGGCAGGUCCAUUUGGAAAGCCUUCCCUUGCCCCACCAGGCCUGUUUCUAUGGUUACAUUGGGAUGAAGAUGGGGCAGGUGGCAUGAUAUUUGACCUUUGCUUCCCCAGGGAGACUCGACAUCUCGACAUUACGCUUGACUUUCCCCAUAGAGAAAUUAGAUGAAUGUCUGCCAGGAAGCAACCCUCAUCCCGUAGCUUCAGAGUCAUCUUUCUCUGAGGGCUGUGGAGCUAUCUAUCCCUUUAAGACCAGUGAGCCUCCUGGGAAAUGGCAGAAAGGAACAGCAAACAGGAAGGGAUUUUCCGCUGCCUAGGAGACCAAGAAGAGGUGGUGCUGACGUCACAGCAAUGCUGAACACUCCAAAAUAGUUUUGUCUAAUUUGAAGGGAAACCGGGCAGCAUCCUCUGACUCUCCGAAGGCUUGGUAGGUUGGGGCCUAUCGGAAGAGACUCCUCUCUCCGGGGAUGCCUGAGGCUAGGAGACAGGACCAGGUUUUAACCAGAUGUCAGCAGCAGCAUUAGCCCACACCUCAUGGUUUCAUCAUUAUCGCGUGCCCUAGGCUCUGUUAUACAAGCUAGGGAUAAAACUCAGAAUGACUGUAAGGGCAGUUGAUGCUAAGGAGAAUUUAAAACUUGCCACAUUUUGAAUGUGAACUGACCCUUGCAGUCUUAUGUGUUUGAAUGUGUGGUCUUCAACUGUUCGAACUGUUUGGGAAGGUGAUAGAAAACUUUAGGAGGUGGGCAUUUGCUGAAGAAAG
rnacentral:lncRNA from 1 species